rnacentral:tRNA from 1 species
ACCACGGUGGUCUAGCGGUUAGAACGCUGGCCUUGUAAUCCUGGGGUCUCGGGUUCGAUUCCCGGCGGU